UCACAGGUUUUCCCAACCUGUCAAUUUCGGCGUGACAAAUGGCCCGGUCUUGCGGAUUUGUUGUGAUUUUAUCGAAAUUAGGAAGGAAAACAUCACCCAGAUGUAACUGUCGGUCACCAAAGUGGAAUCAGAAAGGCCGUUAAAAAAUAUUCCAUUAAAGGUGACAAUCUUUAUUAUGAAGCCAAGGGAAAACACCAGCUGGUAUGCCAUUCCAGAGAAGAGCGUGUGUCUGCCCUUAAGCACUGCCAUGAUGAACCAGGAACUGGUGGACAUUGGGGCAGAAACAAAACGCUGGACAAGAUACAGGAAUCCUAUUACUGGCUGGGGAUGGCAAAGGAUGUUGAGAAAUGGAUCAACGAAUGUGACCAGUGUCAGCGCCAGGAAAGGCUAAAGACAAUAGCACCAAUUCUGCAUCCAAUCGAGACCGAUUCUCCUUGGGAUUUAAUAGGGAUAGACCUGAUCGGCCCCUUUCAGAAAACAGAAGGUGGUAACAAUGAAUACAUAGCAGAGCAGAGCGCGAGAAACAUGUGCCUGAGGGUCUUGCUGAGGGUCUUGCUGAGUGGAAGAGUGUGCAAUAUCUCUGCAGCCAGCAGUUGGAUGGGAACAGUUGCAGUAUAUUCACAUGCAUGAAUGCUGAAUGCCUUGUAAAAGAUGUUUGCCCGACAGUCAUGCGCCAGCACCACGUUCCAUACUAUCGGGAGUAUGUGAUGAAGACACUGCUAGCUGCCAGGAACACAGACAACUGCGACUCCAAACUGUGUUUGCGUCCACAACUAAAAUGCUUGGAAUGGAAGGGUUGUGAUGGAUGUUUGAUGUGGGAGCAUUCUGUUUGCACGAUAAUAACAGACAAGCACCCGUACUGUGGACUUUGUUUGCCAUUGCACUACAAAAACUAAACAUUCUCAUUUCUUGAAUUUGCACUUUGAAUUCUUAUUGCUAUUUUCCUAUAGUCAUAUUAAGUUUUAAUUUGAAUGCAUACACAAUUACUGACACUUUAACAAAUGAAAAACACGUAAAAAUUUGAUUAUUCCUGCUAACUGGGGGCAGCCAUUUUGACCGGUGGUAUAGCUUGGG
rnacentral:lncRNA from 1 species